GGGCUCCCAGGGGAUGGCAGAAUUUGGCCUCUCAGCCUCUUGUCUGGUCUGUGUGUUUGCAGAUAGACAAACCCAGACUCUGCUUUGCUCCACAGUCUAGAGCAGCCCUUUGGAGGAACGUUCCUGAGGGGAAAAACUCCUCUUGCCUCCUGUGGGAGACCCUGUCCUGUGAAAAUAUCCCAGUCCUCCUCUGAGCUGAGCAGCACUAAACCACCCAACUCCAGGAGAAACCAAACUCUCACUGCAUGAACCAUGGCUUGUGAACACAACUGAAUAGAUCCAGAAUGAUUCAGCAGAUGAGGUGCAAGUUUUACACAGCCCAGGUGAUGUCACUGCCCCACAUGUGAAGCUCUGGAAGGAGACCCCGGCAAUGCAGUCUGCUAGGAAGCAUCACUUCAUAAAACUGCCUGAAACAACAGAAAAAGCCUCUAACUGAGAGGUUAAGACAGAAAUCAGCUUUGCAGAAUUCUAUUGGGGCGUCCUAAAACUGAGAAAAUUCAGAAAUGUGCUUGUCUGCCGAGGAAGGCCAACCCCACACACUGGGCUGAAAUAAAAGGCUACAAAAAUAAUUUCAAAGGAAGACUUUUCUCAUCAAAACUUCUUUUGCAUUUUCUUGAAUGGCAAAGAGGGGGGGAAAAAGCCACUUAAUGAAUAUCUUAAUUGCAACGAGGCAUUCUGGUUUUAUGAUUUUAUGAGGCAAGUAAUAGUUUAUUUUUAUUUUUUAGCUGCAGAACUGAUAUCAACUGCAUAAUCACCAAUAAAGAAAGCUUCCCUAGAGAUGGACUCUAAUUCCUUAGAAAAUCAGUAUUUUUUUACCUUUUUGUUUUUCAUUUUUAGACUCUAUUUGCUGAAAACUAUUUUGUACAUCACUCCUCAAAUCACACCAAGUUACAUUUAACAAGAAUAAAAACCCCCUGUACAAUUAAGAAUCCUAUUUGUAAAAACUUUAGCCAGCCUGCA